rnacentral:lncRNA from 1 species
GCAAGCACUGGAGCGGAUUUGGAAGGAACUAUGCAAUGUAGUGGGUUCUUUGUGAAAGAACAGCAAUGAGCAAAGCCACAGGAACCUCCGCUGGGGUGCCCAGAACACUGGCCCUGGGCUAGCGACUUGCCUCAGCCCCAUUUCCCGGAGAGGCUGCCAUGAAGAGGAAGCCGGCGGAGUCUUGGUGCUGAGUCUGAGGGCUUCAGGCAGGACCCAAGACUCUCCUCUGAGGUAGCAGCCCCCAGAGAAGGUUAGCUGUUCUCUGAUGAUAAACUGUGUGACGUUCCCUCACCCAGACACGAUGCCGGAACAGCAGCUGCUGAAACCAACCGAGUGGAGCUACUGCGACUACUUCUGGGCUGAUAAGAAGGACCCCCAAGGCAACGGCACCGUGGCUGGGUUUGAACUACUGCUCCAGAAACAGCUGAAGGGCAAACAAAUGCAGAAGGAAAUGUCAGAAUUCAUCCGGGAAAG